UGGGCGUAGAGCAUGAUGGAGUCUGUGAAAAGAUUUUGUUUAUUAUUCAAAUAUGCUUUGCUUGUGAUUGUGUAAACUCUGAAUGACGAUUCACCCUGAUAAACAUGAAGCCUUGCCUAUGCUUAUCAAAUGCCUGUGAAGACAAGUUCCUGUGCAAAGAAGAACGGAAAGUGCCACUUAAGUAGACGUUUAGUAUAGUACGGACAGAAUGUUUAGUAAGAAAUGCAUUUGUCUGUUAAGCAAUCUAUAUUCUGAGAACUGGCGGAGACUGCCUCCGCCCUGUUGUGCCUAUAUAACCUGCAAUAAAGAAGUGUACUGGUGUGACUCUCAUUAGAGACGUUCACCCCAUGUACAUGUGAUUGAUUAUAUUGUCUCACUGUGUCUCUGUUUUACUUUGGCAGCCUUCUAUUUGGGAGAUUUUCCUCCAACAUUUCUUGGUCCUUCGAAGCCGGAUGAGACAGCCUAUUUAAAGCAGCUCUCACAGAAGGCGCCUCACCAGGUCCCGUCGGUGCGAGAAGCCCACGUUGAAGUCUGCCGGCAGCUCACAUACUAGGUGUGUGAUAAAGUCCAAGGACGUGAAUUCGGGUCUUGGCCAACGUUUUACAAGCGGUCCGCACCGUCGGGGGCUGAUCAGGUGCAUCUGAAGAAACCAGCGCCAAGUAUCUUGCAGGUUGAAACCAGGCGACUGGGUCCUGAUCCGAGUUCUCCACAGAAAGAAUUGGAGCUCGCCCCGCUGGGAAGGACCCUACCAAGUGCUCAUCACCACGCCAACCGCCUGUAAGAUAGCAGAGAGACCAUCUUGGAUUCACCAAAGCCACUGCAAGAAAGUGAGUGACAGCCCAGACUCCUAGGCGCCGGCACCCCUACCCUCAGGUGAUCUGACUGGUGAAGGGAGGGCUGAUCGGGUAUAUCCCGCCCUCUGCUUCUUGCCAGUAGUCUACUCACCUGAGGACCUAGGUGUGUUUGGUCGCCAUGAAGACUCCUGUUGUCCUCGUGGCUGUCCUCCUACUCUCAGCAGGACUCCUCAUGUUUCUAGAGGAUGGUACAGAAAACGAACAGCACCAUCUACGGACGAGAUGGACGCAUGACAAUUCACACCUCCGUGACA